rnacentral:rRNA from 1 species
CAAAGCGAACCGGGGGAACUGAAACAUCUCAGUACCCCGAGGAAAAGAAAUCAACCGAGAUUCCCCCAGUAGCGGCGAGCGGACGGGGAGCAGCCCAGAGUCAGCAUCAAUAUUUACCGCAGGAGAAGGGUCUGGAAAGGCCGGCAAUAAAGGGUGAUAGCCCCGUAUCUGAAGCGGUAAGUGUUGUGAACUCGAAGAGUAGGGCGGGACACGUGUUAUCCUGUCUGAAUAUGGGGGGACCAUCCUCCAAGGCUAAAUACUCCUGACUGACCAAUAGUGAACCAGUACCGCGAGGGAAAGGCGAAAAGAACCCCGGCAAGGGGAGUGAAAUAGAACCUGAAACCGUGUACGUACAAGCAGUGGGAGCACCCGAAAGGGUGUGACUGCGUACCUUUUGUAUAAUGGGUCAGCGACUUAUAUUCUGUAGCAAGGUUAACCGCAUAGGGGAGCCGUAGGGAAACCGAGUCUUAACUGGGCGUUAAGUUGUAGGGUAUAGACCCGAAACCCGGUGAUCUAGCCAUGGGCAGGUUGAAA